AGGGUGCCCACUCAAAUGCUGUCACCUCCACUUAGAGAGUUGGUUGCUAGGAGACCGGAGCCACCAUCACAGUAUGGGGUUAGGAAGAUGUGAGGCAUCGUGAAGUAGUGCGAGAUAUGGACGGAUAGAGAGGCUUUAAAGCGACUCUGGAGCUUUAGAUGUAAUGAAUGAAUAAUGACAACGGUGUGAUAGCAGAGGGUCAAAACUCUUUGGUGAUAUUUAAAGGAAUGACAAGCAGCGAUGCUGCCCUUGUGAGAGCAAUCUGGGAUAAUUUAUGUUUUAUGGACUUUGAACGGCUUUACGGCUAAGAAUUACCAGUAGUUUUCUGCUCCUGCUGACCUUGCUUCUAUAAAAAAAACGCAAACAUAACACUCAAAUCAGCAUUUCUUUACGCAAUGAUCCUCUGGUAAAAUUCCUGUUUCCCACAUCUGCUACAUAUUUCCAGAUUGAUGAUCAGCAAUAUGUAUAAAUAUUAGAGUUCGAGCCUCAGUGAUCAAGAUGAAGAAAACCAAAAAAUGAAAAUAAGUAGUACCAUAAUGUUUGAUAACAUCAAUAACCACAAAACAAAUAGAAAUCAUAUAAAAUCAUAUUUAAAGACGGGAUUAUCCCAAAUUAAAAGAUAGAUGAAAACUACACACAGAUUCUGAGUUAGAUAUUGUGAAACAUGCAUGAAGCAGAUUAAUUUACAGUCAUGUAUCCUCUUUAUAAGACAGAUAUCCAGCAAUUUGACAACUUGCAAUGCUGCACAGAUUUAGCAUGUGUAAAGUAAAUACAAAGGGGGCCGAGUACGCUUCCUUGAGGAACUCCAUAAUUAAAAUCAAUUGUAAUACAAGAUAUUUUUUCCCAAGUCUGUUCGUUAAAACGCAGUGAUAAAUUCUGUCUCAGGCAAGGCUCAAAUCUCAAAGAAAGAGGCACACCCACAACUGGAUUGCAUUGGAGACAUCCAUUGUGCAGAGGGGAUGACUCCUGAUGGCCAUCACCUGACUUUGCAACGAGUGCCAUUAUGUCGACAUUUCUCAACAGCUGUUGGAUUGAUCACUUGGAAAUUUGGUGGGUAAAUUCAAGUCCCCUUCAGGAUAAUCUGUAGCCGCUAUUGUGAUCCCUUGACUUUUCAUGCAGCGCCAUUGUCAGGUGAAAACCGUAUUUGUAUAGUUUUCCAUAUUGUUUUUGUGAAUGAAUGAAACAAAUCCCAAUCUAUUCAAAAAACUCUAUACAUCCAUUUGACGAGAAUUGAAUUACAUAAAUAAUAACGUGCCCUUAUGCUGUUGGGCCAUCCUUACAAAUCAUGACAGCUGGGCUCUAACUUUCCACCGGAUGUCAUUUUAGUUUUUAAAUUGCUGCAAUCUCGUCUUGGAACAGAAUUCAGUGUCUCACCGUGGUCUUGAGGAUGAAAGAGACGGCGUGUUUGCACCGACGUGUAGUGUGUGCUAUACUUAGAUAUUUUUCCAACUGAGAUAGAAGAGCAAAUGGCCAUGAGUUUUUUGUUUUGUCAUCUCUACCCCCACCACUCCGCCCGAGACUGAAUCAGUAUUGUGUGAGAGUAGGAUCCCUCACAUUCCCACGAGGCUUUCACAAGGCCAGAGUGGGACAAAAUAAGAGUAAAAAUACGAAUGACAGCGAGGAGGGGGUCGACAAGAACAAAAACCCAGAGCUGUAUACGUGAGAGUCUAGAUGCACUUCAGUAAUGUUCCCUUUGGAGAUAUUCCAUAGUAGAAAUAAGCACAAAGUAUGUUUUCUACCACAGGGAUGUCCACUCUGAAAAGCAGACCUUGACGUAAUACGUUUCCGUCCCGAAUCCCUUGAUGCGAAAAAGCUUUUACAGUAUGAAAGAAAACAAACGCCGGUUUUUCUUUUGGUCAUUAACGUCAUUCAGAGAGAUCAAAGGUAAAGGGCGUCUCCCCGGGUAACCGCGCCUUGUUAUUGAUGCUGUUGCUCAGAAGUGGAGAAGCUAUCAGCCAUCUGUCGUCGAUGUUUUACAUGAAAUCUGGCUGCUUUCAAGUUCCCCACCGCCUUCAAACGGAGCUCGAGAUGGAGAGUGACGGCCGCAGACAUCAAGUCGCUCCCAUCGGUGGCAAAGACUGACAGUUACCACGACAACCCAUGGGUGGAAGCCACUUGACUUGCAAAGCCGCCCGCGUCUUCAUUCGGACGGCAUUAAUUAUUUCCAUCCUCUCCAACAGUUUUAAUUUCCCUGCUCACGUGAAUAAAUCUGUGUUGGAUUCGUGAUGAGCUGCAAGACAAAUUAUCGUUAUCAUUUGAGGGUUUGUUUCAGGCAUCAUGCAAAGAGAUAAAUGACUCCCUUUAGCAAAAGGGCAGACUCCCGCCUGCAAAAUAGCAAAUAAUUAAUGUCUGGCUUUUUUUUGUAGUGCUUGUGGGAGGGGGAGCAGAUGGAGGCUUUACUUACUUACUAACUACUUACAAGAUUAAUGUUCCCUCUAUGCUGCAACCCGCUGAGGCUUCCUGCUGUCUGCUAUCAUGACCUAUCAUUGCACGGACUCUGAGAGCUUAUUAAGGGUCACAUUUAUGGUGUUAAAAUGCAAAGUAACAAAACAAACAGGAAACUAAGCACUCGACUACAGCUGUCGUACUCCUAGGGUUUAAAUGCACGCUUUGUUUAACUAUUUCCACCUGAGAGGGAAAUAUUGUACUUCACUUUUGAAAUAUUUUUUUUGAUAAAAUUGAAAAUAAUACAUUUUUAGUUAUAUGACACAUAUUCCUUCUUUAAUCAGCCUAAAGUAUAUCAACAUGAUCUCCCUCACAACCAGCUGCAACAUUAAAUGAUUAAAGAUUAAAAUGAUGUCUUUGUCACAUGUUCAAACAAUGUGCGUGUGAGUAGUGGAACCAAAUGCAGGGAAGCACAAUGACCCCAACCCUAAAAAAUAUUAGAGUGGAAUGUCAUCCAUCCACCUUCAAAGCCGCUUAUCCACCAUGCAGGGUCGCAGGGGGCUGCAGUCAAUCCCUGCUAACAUUGGACGAGAAUUAAAAGUGGAAUGAAUAAAGACAAUUCUAAAAAUAAAUGUAUACCAUCACAUUUGAGGCUUAAGUAAUAACAAUAACAGCCUGUGUCAUUUUAACUGGUCACACACACAAAGUAUCCCAUGAUGCUUCACUCACGUCUUUGGGCUGCAUAGCGUCACGUGAUGCACAUCGAGAUUCACAUCGAGAUUCACACAGUCGGGCCACUUUGUCAAAGGAGCUUCUGCUCCUCCUGAGGUCUUGACUCAAACAUUCACACUUGCAUCGACACCACUUAGUUGGGUGGAGUGAGGUCACCGUGGAGUGGAGAAAGGUCACCGUGAAUUGGUUUUGAUUAAGACACACAAACGCAAACACCUCCAUCCACCUCCACCCGCCCGCUGUGCGUCUUCAUCAUCUCCCUCUCAAUGCUUUUUCUCUGAGGCUCUAACAAUGAUGUGGUUGAGUCUAUUUUUGAGUCAAAAUACAAUUUCCAAAAUAAAAGCUCAUCACAUAACGGUCUUAGGGUGUUUAAAAAAACUCUUAUUUUAUUGUGAAGGGGCUUAAGGUUGUGAAUCCUUUUCCGUCAGAGUACUGUGAGGUUUUCUUGGCUUCAUGUCAAAGAGACAAAGUGUGACCUGCAGAACGUGAGAGAAGAGAGCCCCCAUGUGACAGAGGUGGGAAACACACAAUAUAUGUGAUUUACACCACAACCUCAGCUUCCUCACUUUGAUUUUAAUGUUGCUUAUUCUGGAGCAAUACAAACCUGCAGCAAAAAACACCAUCAGAAAUGGUUUAUUACUUUGAAAUUGAUUUGGUGAAUGUUGCGUGAUAAUGAACGUAUCAUACGACGGAAUACAAACAUAACGCAAAUUAAAAAAAACAAUAUAAAUAAGUCUACAUUAAAAUGUCUGUUACUAGAAGUGUCUAUUUAAAUUUGUGCAGCGAUGUGUAAAUGUACGUGAUUGUUCUGGGCAUAAUACACAAAUAAAUUCCCAUACGAGUA